CCGCAACGAGCGCAACCCUUGUCUUUAGUUAAUUUGCUAAAGAGACUGCUAGUGUAAGCUAGAGGAAGGUGGGGAUGACGUCAAAUCAUCAUGCCCUUUAUACCCUGGGCCACAAACGUGCUACAAUGGUGAAUACAAAGUGUUGCAAAACAGUAAUGUCAAGCUAAUCACAAAAAGUUCAUCUCAGUUCGGAUCGAGGGCUGCAAUUCGCCCUCGUGAAGUUGGAAUCAUUAGUAAUCGCAGAUAAGUCAUGCUGCGGUGAAUACGUUCUCGGGUCUUGUACACACCGCCCGUCAAACUAUGAGAGCCGUUAAUACCUAAAACCGUUUUGCUAACCGCAAGGAGGCGAACGUCUAGGGUAGGAAUGGUGAUUGGAGUUAAGUCGUAACAAGGUACCCCUACGAGAACGUGGGGGUGGAUCACCUCCUUUCU
rnacentral:rRNA from 1 species